AUACGGAGGAUGCGAGCGUUGUCCGGAAUUACUGGGCGUAAAGGGUGCGCAGGCGGAUAUUUAAGUCAGCUGUAAAAGGCAUGAGCUCAACUCAUGUAUGCGGUUGAAACUGGGUAUCUAGAGUGCUGGAGAGGUAGGCGGAAUUCCCGGUGUAGCGGUGAAAUGCGUAGAUAUCGGGAAGAACACCAGUGGCGAAGGCGGCUUACUGGCCAGCAACUGACGCUGAGGCGCGAAAGCCAGGGGAGCGAACGGGAUUAGAUACCCCGGUAGUCCUGGCAGUAAACGAUGUAUGCUGGGUGUGGGAGUAGCGAUACCUCCGUGCCGAAGUUAACGCGAUAAGCAUACCGCCUGGGGAGUACGGUCGCAAGAUUGAAACUCAAAUGAAUUGACGGGG
rnacentral:rRNA from 1 species